rnacentral:lncRNA from 1 species
UAUUUGAGGUUUUUUACACUAAUGAAGCUUUUGUUCUGUAGUUUGAUUUGCUCAUUGUUAAGCUUGUACAAGUUAUUUGAGGAAAAUGCUGAUAGGGAUUCUAACCUGUUAGCGAGCUUCUUUUGAUAUGAACUUGCACUUGUUUUUCCCCGUGUUUUUUUCCCAAAUGACUAUUCGUACUUAUGGUUGGUUUUCUCCCAUUUGUUCAACAUUUUGGCAGGUCUCUUUUGGUCAUGAGGGGAAAUAGUGCUGAUAUGGCCAGGCAUGCCAUGUGCUCAUCUCCUAACAAAAGAGUUACAAUUACAUUCUUCAAAGUCAGAACAGAGAUUGGAAACAACUUCCCAGAAGUUGCUCCUCUGACUAGAGCCAUGACCUUAUGGCAACCUGGUGUUCCAACACAAUAUGCAACUGCAAAUGGAGUUCACAAUGGUUAUGAGCCAAUGGAUGUGAUCCCCAAAUGGGGUGUCGUUCGAGCUCCAAUGGUUAUGCUAGCACCAGUGGCUCGUCCACUAGUUAUGAGCCCCCGAAAGGCUCCUCGUACUAGAGCCAUGACCUUAUGGCAACCGGUCUCUUUUGGUCAUGAGGGGAAAUAGUGCUGAUAUGGCCAGGCAUGCCAUGUGCUCGUCUCCUAACAAAAGAGUUACAAUUACAUUCUUCAAAGUCAGAACAGAGAUUGGAAACAACUUCCCAGAAGUUGCUCCUCUGACUAGAGCCAUGACCUUAUGGCAACCGGGUGUUCCAACACAAUAUGCAACUGCAAAUGGAGUUCACAAUGGUUAUGAGCCAAUGGAUGUGAUCCCCAAAUGGGGUGUCGUUCGAGCUCCAAUGGUUAUGCUAGCACCAGUGGCUCGUCCACUAG